rnacentral:rRNA from 1 species
GAUGAACGCUAGCGACAGGCCUAACACAUGCAAGUCGAGGGGCAGCACGGAAGUAGCAAUACGACUGGUGGCGACCGGCGCACGGGUGAGUAACACGUAUGCAACCUACCUGUAAGAGGGGAAUAACCCGGAGAAAUUCGGACUAAUACCGCAUAAUACUACGAAACUGCAUGGUUUUGUAGUUAAACAUUUAUGGCUUACAGAUGGGCAUGCGUAUGAUUAGCUAGUUGGUGAGGUAACGGCUCACCAAGGCAACGAUCAUUAGGGGUUCUGAGAGGAAGGUCCCCCACACUGGUACUGAGACACGGACCAGACUCCUACGGGAGGCAGCAGUGAGGAAUAUUGGUCAAUGGGCGAGAGCCUGAACCAGCCAAGUCGCGUGAAGGAAGAAGGUUCUAUGGAUUGUAAACUUCUUUUGUAAGGGAAUAAAAAGAGUUACGUGUAACUUAUUGUAUGUACUUUACGAAUAAGGAUCGGCUAACUCCGUGCCAGCAGCCGCAGUAAUAC